AGAACGAACGCUGGCGGCAUGCCUAACACAUGCAAGUCGAACGAGACCUUCGGGUCUAGUGGCGCACGGGUGCGUAACGCGUGGGAAUCUGCCCUUGGGUUCGGGAUAACAGUUGGAUACGACUGCUAAUACCGGAUGAUAUCUUCGGAUCAAAGAUUUAUCGCCCAGGGAUGAGCCCGCGUAGGAUUAGCUUGUUGGUGAGGUAAGAGCUCACCAAGGCGACGAUCCUUAGCUGGUCUGAGAGGAUGAUCAGCCACACGUGGGACUGAGACACGGCCCAGACU
rnacentral:rRNA from 1 species